rnacentral:piRNA from 1 species
UCCAUAGAAUUAAGAUAAGUGACAGUUGUGU